rnacentral:ncRNA from 1 species
UGCCUGAAGGGGUCUUUAUAUUUUAUCUUCUAUUCUUACUUUAUAGGAUAAAUCUUAUUUUUCUAAUGGUUAGUUUUGUAAAAAUUUUGUUACAGAUAUUGAGGACAAAGCUUGUGCCAGCAGUCGCGGUCAUACCUUUUUCAUUAAAUUUAUUUUAACCCUUUUGUUAUCACUUAAAAAUUUAGUACUUAGGUGAAAUUAUUACUAUUUUUUAACUUUCAGGUGGGUGGUAAAUAUCAACAAACUAGGAUUAGAUACCCUAUUAUGAUGUGGAUACUUUAAGGUAGUAAUUAAUAAUUAAAAAACUUAACCUUUCUGGCGGCCUGUUUUUCUUCAGAGGAGCUUGAUUUUAUAACCUGAUACCCCUCCUUUAUCUUCACCUUUAGUAUUUUUAUGUGCGGCUGUUAAGUUUUAAGAUACAGCUUAUUCCUAAAAAUAAUUUUAUCUUAAUUCAGGUCAAUGUGUAGAAUAUCUAAUGGAUAAAUUGAGCUACUUUUAUUAUUUUUGUGAAGUAAUUCUCAAUAAAAAUGGAUUUGAAAGUAAGCAGUUGUUUAAAUCUGUUGCUGGUUAGUUUUUAAGCAGGAGUACAUAUCGCCCGUCACUCUUUUGAUAGAUAAGUCGUAACAAAGUAGGGGUUUUGGAAAAAGCCUCUUGUUU